CCUAUGUUACACUAUUAACACAGGCGGUUGUUAUCUCUCGCCGUACUGUUUUUACAACACAGACGCAUGAUAACUAAAACCGUCUGUAAAAAAGUUUUGCCACCGCCGAGGCUGGGCACUUGUGUACUAGUGGUCCUUAAAUAUUUCGUGAUAUGUCAUCUUGUCAGGCUCUUUCAAAUCUACGGAGGCCAUCGAGAAGAUCGUGGCUUCGGAAGGAUCUAUCAUUGGUAGUGGUGGAGCUAGGAUUUGACGGUUGGGUACUGCAUGUAUAAAAAAUUUCCAAUGUAUAUGUGCAAUUAUAAAUUAAUUCUUGUUUAGUUCACAAAUUUUUUUAGUUUUGGCUAUUUUAGUACUUUCUUUUGUAUUUGAUAAUAUUGUCUAAUCAUAGAUAUAGGUUCAAAAGAUUUGUUUCGCAAAUUACAAACAAACUAUAAAAUUAGUUUUUAUUUUCUUCUAUAUUUAAUGCUCCAUGUAUGUGUCCAAUGAUUUAAUGUAAUGGGGAAUCUUAAAAAAUUUUGGAAACUAAACCAGACCUAAUAAAGGACAAAAUCCAGUACAAAAUUGAUCAUGAUGCACAACUAAGUAGUAUAUAUAAUUUUCUUAAAAUAUACGCUAGGUAAAAUAUUUGUUUACAGUGGUAACAAGGCAUCAAGCAAAGUGAGCUGGUGUCGCCCUGGUAAUAAUCAAAGUAUAAGUUCUUUAUCUACGUUACAAGAACACAAUGCAACAUUUUUUAAAAAAAAUAAAAAUGCAACAAAAAAGAAAACAAAACCUACAAUUUUUACUUUGAAGAAUAAAAAAAAUAGAUGUGGGUCUUUGUGUUCGCCUCGUUGUUGCUUCAAGCCAUAUAUGAGAAGAGACACCGAAGGGGAGGGUCGGACUCCCGGACGCUAGAGCCGAGGGGGAGCCUGCAAAGACCACUGACCGCCGCCACAGCC
rnacentral:lncRNA from 1 species